AGGAGAGGUCUACCAAGUUUUAGAAUUUGAAUGGCCAAUUUUUGACAAUAGUACCAUGGGAACUGACACUUUAAUUUGUGCAUCUAAAUGUGUCUGAAUUUUAGAAAUGAAAAAUGACAAGUAAAAUGGAAUCUCACAUAUGGGUUAUUCUUUUAAAGUCUGUUUUGUUGCUAAGGUGUCACCAUGCCUAAAUUCAUAAGAUGGUCACCACCAAAUAAUAUUAAGAGCUUAACAGACCAGGUGUGGUGGCUCACGCCUGUAAUCCCAGCACUUUGGGAGGCUGAGGCAGGUGGAUCGCCUGAGGUCAGGAGUUCGAGACCAGCCUGACCAACAUGGUGAAACCCUGUCUCUACAAAAUACAAAAAAUUAGCCGGGCGUGGUAGUGCAUGCCUGUAAUCCCAGCUACUUGGGAGGCUGAGGCAGGAAAUCGCUUGAACCCGGGAGGUGGAGGUUGCAGUGAGCCAAGAUUGCACUACUGCACUCCAGCCUGGGCAACAAGAGCAAAACUCUGUCUCAAAAAAAAAAAAAAAAAAAAAAAAGAGCUUAAUAUUCUUGGGCAAAACAGGCAUCAAUUAUGUACAAAUAAGAUUUAGAAUUGUUAUAAUUGGUUUAAAAUCCUCUCAACUGUGUUCCUAGGUUAUUUACGCUAAUUUUUCUCUUCCUUAAUAGAAGAAAACAUCAUAGAGCAAUCAGUAGAUUUAUCAGUAAGAAAAGGUGCUGGCCUUGGACCUAGUAGAAACACUAGGCAGGCGUUAGGUGAACCAAGUUCUAGUUCAGUCUAAUCUCUAAGCAGCUGGGUGUCCGCGGGCAUUCACUAGGCCUCUCUGGAUUUCUCUAUGGGUAAACUGAAAGAUAACUAUAAUAUUUUUCUCUAGUUCUAAAGUACCGAUUCAAUUUCAAUGCCAGAAACUGAAAUAUACUUUUAAGCCACUAGAGGGAGGAACAAAUAGCUUACCACUAAUUUCAAAGAAUUUUUCAAAGCCAUUUAACAUUAAAAAAAAAAAAAUUGAAAGACCCAUUCAAUUUAAGUAAAUUUAUUUACAUAAUAGUGGUCUGAUUUCCAUUAUUUCUGUUAACUCUUUUCAAGUAUAAAAUAUUAAUGCAGGUCAGGCGCAGUGGUUCACGCCAGUAAUCCCAGUACUUUGGGAGGCUGAGGUGGGCAGAUCGCUUGAGCCCAGAAGUUUGAGACCAGCCUGGGCGAUGUGGUGAAACGCUGUCUCUACCAAAAAUACAAAAAUUAACCGGGCGAGGUGGCGUGUGCCUGUACUCCCAGCUACUCAGGAGGCUGAGGUGGGAGGAUCACUUGAGCCUGUGGGGGCAGAGGUGGCAAUGACCCGUGAUUGUGCCACUGCAUUCCAGCCUGGGUGACAGAGUGAGACCCUGUCUCAAGAAAAAAAAAAAAAUUAAUGGAAAAUAGCAUAAGAUUAAUAUUUAAAAUCCAAUGUUACUAAAAUAUUUUCUGAAAUAUGGUAGUAUUCAUUUUUUCUGGAUGAAAACAUGUUGAUAAAAUGUAUGUACUUAAAUUAGUUUCAGAUAAAAUAUUAUGCAAUAACAAGCUAUAUAAAAGUAGAUAUCAAAAAAGCUACAAGCUCCCUCUCUAACGCCUUAAAAUGCAAAUUAAAGUCUUGCUGAAGUGCUUGCAAAAUCUGUGCUAAAAACCUCCUAGUAGCUUUUGUGACUGCACACAGACACAAACUUCACGGGUUAAAGUCACGACUGUUAAACGACAUUCACAGGACAGGGCAGAGGGUGGCUGAAAUUUGGCAAAAUGUUGUACAUUCAAAUUAUUAUUAUAAUUUUAACUUUAUUAAAUGUUUACCUUCAUAUUUUUAAUACUUAUCAUAUAAAUAAACAUUUUAAGAAUUAGCGAAUUCUUUGUUCAGAACAAUGCUAUUUAAAAAUCUGAUGAAAUUAAGAUGAGCUCCAGGGAUUUUUAAGGUCACAGUCAGUAUUUUUUUUUUUUUUGUUGGCUAGGCUGGUCUCAAACUUCUGACCUCAAGAGAUCCAGCCUGCCUUGGCAUCCCAAAGUGCUGGGAUUACAGGCGUGAGCCACCGCACCCUGCCACACAAUAAGUCUUCUAAUUUACAAUAAAAAUAGUUAUAUGGUUGAUUCAGAUUUUUGUGGCCUAGAUUUUUGGGGAGCCUUUUUGAUUGAUAUGAAUAUAUGUAUUUUUGAGACAGGGACUUG
rnacentral:lncRNA from 1 species